AAAAAAAAGAGUAAUGAAAUAACAGUGAAAUAACAGUGUGAUGUAUAGAAUUUUUGUAAGUUGCCUUGAUUAUCCCACAGUGAAAAAUCAUGGUUUUGCUUCUGCAGUGCAGUUUAAUUAACAAGCGUUCUACCACAGAAUCUCGACAUAAAAGACGAUGGAUUUUUAGCAGUUAUAGAAAAUGUGGGUGAGGGGUUAGUUUUAUGAAGAGAAUCCAUGUAUUCAAUCACGAAAAACACAAAAUUUGAAUCCAGUCCUCUUCUCUCUCCUCUCAUUGAUUUUUCUUCUUCUCUUCCAAACCCAUCGUCUGCAACCCAAACCCAUCGAUUUUUCUUCGAAUCCCAUCAUCCACAAACCAAACUCAUCGAGUUUUCUUCGAAUCCCAGCAAGCCAAACCCAUUUACGUUUUCGUUGGAAUCCCAUCGUCUGCAAGCCAAACCCAUCGACUGAACUUCGAAUCCAUCGUCCGCAAGCCAUCCCAGUUCCUUCUAAGAAUUCACAUCGUCUUUCCUCGACAUCAUAGAAGCCUUCCCGUCAUUCUCUCCUCCACAUCAUUACCCUCAUACACAGACAAUGCUCAUAGAUGGAGUACCCACAAGGCUUCUAUUUGCAUUAUGAGCACACCCUGUUUGACGAAAUGUCUCUGUGGGAUAUAUUGGUUGGUUGUUGGUGUGUUAAAACAUAUUUGAUGUUGGCAAUGUUUCUUCACGAUUCUUACAGAAUUAUUCAAUUUUGAGGGACAUGAAUUGAGGUAUGUUUUCAAUAUGGAAUUAAUUUGACCUUUUUCUGAUUUCUCUUUUCCUUUUAUUAUCUUUUUUUGUAAUCAAGAAUCUACAGAUCGUGGACGGUUUUAUUUGGAUGCUUUUGCAUAUGUGAUAGAUUAGAACAUUAAUUGGUGUUGUUUUCAUUAAAGUCAAUCGAUUACCUUAGCUUUUUGAAAGAUCUCUAACAACUCGAUCGUCUGGCUUAAGUAUUUAUUUUUAAUCAAAGUUUUGGUCGGUUGAUAUUAGUGGAAUAGGUUGUAUUACUCUGGUAAAGGUGCCGGGGCCUAAUAUUUUUCUGAGAUAAUCUUCACGUGAAAAAAUGAAACCAGGGGUUAAUUCUUGCAUUACUAUUUUUUUUUUAAUAUCUAUGAUAUUGAAAAUUUUGAUCGUGCUAUCAUGCUAAUUUAAGGCAUUCAUUUGCCUCUCUUGUGGAGAUUAAGGCUUACAUUUUAACUACUAUCAUAUGCAUUGUUUGAUUAAUUUUUGGCUGCUUAUAGUUUAGAAAAUAUUCGGUGUUUGGCGCUUAUAUGAACAGGCAUGCCACCUAUUAUGGAAUUAAUAUCAGAUUAGGAAAAGUUAAAAAAGACAGUCUAUUUGCUAAUUAAAUAACUUGAUUAAACUAACAAUUUCUGCUCUCUUUCAGUUCCUAGCUAUGCUUAAAAAUGUAGGAAACCUCUGAGGUGUGAAACUGAUUGGAAUUAUUCCCUUUUAGACACGGUUUUGCAACUGAUUAUAUGUGAUGUCAACCAUCUGGAUCUUAUGAUAUCGAGUUUAUUUUGCAAUUACCAUGUCGGAGCAUUGAGUUUUAUAUUUAUCAUUUAUUCUUGUCAUUAGUUUGACACAAUAUUGGUGGUGUGGUGGAGCGAAUACAAUCCCAACGUAAGUUUAUGCUUGUGAUUCCUUUUUACCUUUUUCUAUACUAUUCUCCAUUACAUUCCAAUCUUGUACCAAUUAAGUUGGUCAUUAUUACUUUUUGGCAUGGAUCUAUACAGUUAUUUAUCGUGUUCCAAUCUUGUACUGAUUAAAUUAAUCAUGAGUAAACUUUCGUUUUGGCAUUAAUGUUUUUGUUGGGCAUCAAUAUAUUAUUUAUCAAAAAAAAAAUGUUUUUGUUGGGCAUCAAUAUAUAGAAUCCCGAGUUUUCACCUGUUGCUUUUCUUUUCAAUGAAUUGUUCAAUUUUGAAGCUCAUAUUGGUCGUCAUUUUCAAUUUGGGAUCAGCUUAUGCUACUUGUGGUAUAAAUAAAUUCUUUUGGCUGCUACUGGAAUCUGAGGUGAAAGCUGCCAGUCUAUGCAGAUCACCUGCUUGUAAAUUGUCAGGAAUUCCUAUUUCUGUAAAGCAAACUGUUUUCAUUUGUUACUCGUAUGUAGAAUAAACCAUGGAGCAUUUAUAUGCAAUAAGCACAAAUGUUGCUGGGAUAUUGGGGCACACUUUAAAUGCCAGCCCCAGUUUGUGACAGGAUUCCAUAUUGCUUAAUAGAAAUCUGUCAUCCGGUAGUCUGUAUGGAUGGUAGUAUCUUUUUUCCC